UGGGGAAUAUUGCACAAUGGGCGCAAGCCUGAUGCAGCCAUGCCGCGUGUAUGAAGAAGGCCUUCGGGUUGUAAAGUACUUUCAGCGGGGAGGAAGGGAGUAAAGUUAAUACCUUUGCUCAUUGACGUUACCCGCAGAAGAAGCACCGGCUAACUCCGUGCCAGCAGCCGCGGUAAUACGGAGGGUGCAAGCGUUAAUCGGAAUUACUGGGCGUAAAGCGCACGCAGGCGGUCUGUCAAGUCGGAUGUGAAAUCCCCGGGCUCAACCUGGGAAAUGCAUUCGAAACUGGCAGGCUAGAGUCUUGUAGGGGGGGGUAGAAUUCCAGGUGUAGCGAUGAAAUGCGUAGAGAUCUGGAAGAAUACCGGUGGCGAAGGCGGCCCCCUGGACAAAGACUGACGCUCAGGUGCGAAAGCGUGGGGAGCAAACAGG
rnacentral:rRNA from 1 species